rnacentral:rRNA from 1 species
AUUGAACGCUGGCGGCAGGCUUAACACAUGCAAGUCGAGCGGGGGAAGGUAGCUUGCUACCGGACCUAGCGGCGGACGGGUGAGUAAUGCUUAGGAAUCUGCCUAUUAGUGGGGGACAACAUCUCGAAAGGGAUGCUAAUACCGCAUACGUCCUACGGGAGAAAGCAGGGGAUCUUCGGACCUUGCGCUAAUAGAUGAGCCUAAGUCGGAUUAGCUAGUUGGUGGGGUAAAGGCCUACCAAGGCGACGAUCUGUAGCGGGUCUGAGAGGAUGAUCCGCCACACUGGGACUGAGACACGGCCCAGACUCCUACGGGAGGCAGCAGUGGGGAAUAUUGGACAAUGGGGGGAACCCUGAUCCAGCCAUGCCGCGUGUGUGAAGAAGGCCUUAUGGUUGUAAAGCACUUUAAGCGAGGAGGAGGCUACUUUAGUUAAUACCUAGAGAUAGUGGACGUUACUCGCAGAAUAAGCACCGGCUAACUCUGUGCCAGCAGCCGCGGUAAUACAGAGGGUGCGAGCGUUAAUCGGAUUUACUGGGCGUAAAGCGUGCGUAGGCGGCUUAUUAAGUCGGAUGUGAAAUCCCCCGAGCUUAACUUGGGAAUUGCAUUCGAUACUGGUGAGCUAGAGUAUGGGAGAGGAUGGUAGAAUUCCAGGUGUAGCGGUGAAAUGCGUAGAGAUCUGGAGGAAUACCGAUGGCGAAGGCAGCCAUCUGGCCUAAUACUGACGCUGAGGUACGAAAGCAUGGGGAGCAAACAGGAUUAGAUACCCUGGUAGUCCAUGCC